rnacentral:rRNA from 1 species
UGGGGAAUAUUGCACAAUGGGCGCAAGCCUGAUGCAGCCAUGCCGCGUGUAUGAAGAAGGCCUUCGGGUUGUAAAGUACUUUCAGCGGGGAGGAAGGUGUUGUGGUUAAUAACCACAGCAAUUGACGUUACCCGCAGAAGAAGCACCGGCUAACUCCGUGCCAGCAGCCGCGGUAAUACGGAGGGAGCAAGCGUUAAUCGGAAUUACUGGGCGUAAAGCGCACGCAGGCGGUCUGUCAAGUCGGAUGUGAAAUCCCCGGGCUCAACCUGGGAACUGCAUCCGAAACUGGCAGGCUUGAGUCUUGUAGAGGGGGGUAGAAUUCCAGGUGUAGCGGUGAAAUGCGUAGAGAUCUGGAGGAAUACCGGUGGCGAAGGCGGCCCCCUGGACAAAGACUGACGCUCAGGUGCGAAAGCGUGGGGAGCAAACA